rnacentral:rRNA from 1 species
UACGUAGGGCGCGAGCGUUGUCCGGAAUUACUGGGCGUAAAGCGUGCGCAGGCGGUUAUGCAAGACAGAUGUGAAAUCCCCGGGCUCAACCCUGGGAACUGCAUUUGUGACUGCAUAGCUAGAGUACGGUAGAGGGGGAUGGAAUUCCGCGUGUAGCAGUGAAAUGCGUAGAUAUGACGGAGGAACACCGAUGGCGAAGGCAAUCCCCUGGACCUGUACUGACGCUCAUGCACGAAAGCGUGGGGAGCA